rnacentral:rRNA from 1 species
AACGAACGCUGGCGGCAUGCCUAACACAUGCAAGUCGAACGAGACCUUCGGGUCUAGUGGCGCACGGGUGCGUAACGCGUGGGAAUCUGCCCUUGGGUUCGGGAUAACAGUUGGAAACGACUGCUAAUACCGGAUGAUGUCUUCGGACCAAAGAUUUAUCGCCCAAGGAUGAGCCCGCGUAGGAUUAGCUUGUUGGUGAGGUAAGAGCUCACCAAGGCGACGAUCCUUAGCUGGUCUGAGAGGAUGAUCAGCCACACUGGGACUGAGACACGGCCCAGACUCCUACGGGAGGCAGCAGUGGGGAAUAUUGGACAAUGGGCGAAAGCCUGAUCCAGCAAUGCCGCGUGAGUGAUGAAGGCCUUAGGGUUGUAAAGCUCUUUUACCCGGGAUGAUAAUGACAGUACCGGGAGAAUAAGCCCCAGCUAACUCCGUGCCAGCCGCCGCCGUAA